CCUACGGGUUGCACCAGUGGGGAAUAUUGGACAAUGGGCGGAAGCCUGAUCCAGCAACGCCGCGUGAGGGAUGACGGCCUUCGGGUUGUAAACCUCUUUCAGUACCGACGAAGCGCAAGUGACGGUAGGUACAGAAGAAGCACCGGCCAACUACGUGCCAGCAGCCGCGGUAAUACGUAGGGUGCGAGCGUUGUCCGGAAUUAUUGGGCGUAAAGGGCUCGUAGGCGGUUUGUCGCGUCGGGAGUGAAAACCAGGUGCUUAACACCUGGCUUGCUUUCGAUACGGGCAGACUGGAGGUAUGCAGGGGAGAACGGAAUUCCUGGUGUAGCGGUGAAAUGCGCAGAUAUCAGGAGGAACACCGGUGGCGAAGGCGGUUCUCUGGGCAUUACCUGACGCUGAGGAGCGAAAGUGUGGGGAGCGAACAGGAUUAGAUACCCCAGUAGUC
rnacentral:rRNA from 1 species